rnacentral:rRNA from 1 species
UGCAGUCGAGCGGACCGACGGGAGCUUGCUCCCUUAGGUCAGCGGCGGACGGGUGAGUAACACGUGGGUAACCUGCCUGUAAGACUGGGAUAACUCCGGGAAACCGGGGCUAAUACCGGAUGCUUGAUUGAACCGCAUGGUUCAAUCAUAAAAGGUGGCUUUUAGCUACCACUUGCAGAUGGACCCGCGGCGCAUUAGCUAGUUGGUGAGGUAACGGCUCACCAAGGCGACGAUGCGUAGCCGACCUGAGAGGGUGAUCGGCCACACUGGGACUGAGACACGGCCCAGACUCCUACGGGAGGCAGCAGUAGGGAAUCUUCCGCAAUGGACGAAAGUCUGACGGAGCAACGCCGCGUGAGUGAUGAAGGUUUUCGGAUCGUAAAACUCUGUUGUUAGGGAAGAACAAGUACCGUUCGAAUAGGGCGGCACCUUGACGGUACCUAACCAGAAAGCCACGGCUAACUACGUGCCAGCAGCCGCGGUAAUACGUAGGUGGCAAGCGUUGUCCGGAAUUAUUGGGCGUAAAGCGCGCGCAGGCGGUUUCUUAAGUCUGAUGUGAAAGCCCCCGGCUCACCGGGGAGGGUCUUGGA